rnacentral:rRNA from 1 species
AUUGAACGCUGGCGGCAGGCCUAACACAUGCAAGUCGAACGAGUGGCGGACGGGUGAGUAAUGUCUGGGAAACUGCCUGAUGGAGGGGGAUAACUACUGGAAACGGUAGCUAAUACCGCAUACCAUCAGAUGUGCCCAGAUGGGAUUAGCUAGUUGGUGGGGUAACGGCUCACCAGGGCGACGAUCCCUCGCUGGUCUGAGAGGAUGACCAGCCACACUGAAACUGGGACACGGUCCGGAUUCCUCGGGGAGUCAGCAGUGGGGAAUAUUGCACAAUGGGCGAAAGCCUGAUGCAGCCAGGCCGGGUGUAUGAAGAGGGCCUUCGGGUUGUAAAGUACUUUCAGCGGGGAGGCGUUACCCGAAGAAGAAGCACCGGCUAACUACGUGCCAGCAGCCGCGGUAAUAC